rnacentral:rRNA from 1 species
UACAGGGGGGGUAAGCGUUGUUCGGAAUUACUGGGCGUAAAGGGCUCGUAGGCGGCCAACUAAGUCAGACGUGAAAUCCCUCAGCUUAACUGGGGAACUGCGUCUGAUACUGGAUGGCUUGGAUUCGGGAGAGGAAUGCGGAAUUCCAGGUGUAGCGGUGAAAUGCGUAGAUAUCUGGAGGAACACCGGUGGCGAAGGCGGCAUCCUGGACCAAUAUUGACGCUGAGGAGCGAAAGCGUGGGGAGCGAACAGG